GGAUGUGAGGGUGAUCUGGUUUCCACACACCAUCCCAUUGGUCACCAGGGUUGAUUCGGCUGCCUGGCUGUCUAGACAGGUGUCCUCUUCCUCCCUCACUCUCCCUGUCUGUCCCUCCCAAAGCUGCACCUUCAGUUGACCACCCUGAUAGAAGAGGACUGUUUCCUCAGUCAUGGAUGUAUGAGUACCUGUGCUCCCCUGCUAGGACCUCUCACAAGCUUUCAAAGACACUUGUCAUACUGUACAUACCUCACAUGCUAAAAUCAGUGGACAAAAGCUUAACAAGAAAUAGGAAAUUGCUCAAAAUAUUCCCCUUUGUAUUCUGGGGGAUAUGUUCCAAG
rnacentral:snRNA from 1 species